rnacentral:tRNA from 1 species
CGCGGGGUGGAGCAGCUCGGUAGCUCGCUGGGCUCAUAACCCAGAGGUCGCAGGUUNGAGAAGAAGGGGCCCGGCUCACCGCCG